GAAAAGAACUUUGGAGAGAGAGUUAAAAGCACGUGAAACCGUUGAAAGGGAAACGCGCUCGGCUAGCAAUGCACGCCUGUGGUUCAGCCGGCUAGUCUAGUGGGCUGUUGCGUUGCGGAUCCGAAUGGACCGUGCGUGGCGGUGACGCUGGGCGAGCUGUGGUGCACUCCAUGGGUGUGCGCGUCAGCGUCGGUUCUCGACGAGUGAUGAGGUGCCUGGGGGAAGGUAGCUCGCCUCUUCGGAGGCGAGUGUUAUAGACCCUGGUGCUGGACUCGUCGCGGGACCGAGGAGAGAGAUGAUCGCUGCGGCACCUGCCUCUCGGGGCUAGCCAGCCGUUGUCAGAUGUGCGCCAGGUGCUGAGGACUGCACGCAGUGCUCGGCGUUUUGUCGUGGUCUGGCGGCGGUGUGGGCAUAGAGGUGCCUAGGACGCUGGCGUCCAAAUGGCCGUGCGCGACCCGUCUUGAAACACGGAAA
rnacentral:rRNA from 1 species